GCGGUGGAGCAUGUGGUUUAAUCGACGCAACGCGAAGAACCUUACCUGGAUUUGACAUCCUCUGACAGUUCCGGAACGGAAUUUUUCCGACUUGUCGGAACAGAGUGACAGGUGCUGCAUGGCUGUCGUCAGCUCGUGUCGUGAGAUGUUGGGUUAAGUCCCGCAACGAGCGCAACCCUUACCCUUAGUUGUUUUCCCGAAAGGAUUACCCUCUAAGGGGACUGCCCCGGACAACGGGGAGGAAGGUGGGGGAUGACGUCAAGUCCGCAUGCUCCUUACGUCUAGGGCUACACACGUCCUACAAUGGGGUCGACAGUGGGAUGCAAAGCCGCGAGGUGGAGCCAAUCCCCAAACGGCCUCUCAGUUCGGAUAGUAGUCUGCAACUCGACUACUUGAAGUCGGAAUCGCUAGUAAUGGCGGAUCAGCAUGCCGCCGUGAAUACGUUCCCGGGUCUU
rnacentral:rRNA from 1 species